AUUCUGGCUCAGGAUGAACGCUGGCGGCGUGCUUAACACAUGCAAGUCGAACGGAACUUUCUCCCGAAGAAGCGGAGUGCUUGCACAAAGUGGAUUCAUUGAAAGUUAGUGGCGGACGGGUGAGUAACGCGUGGGUAACCUGCCGUAUGCCGGGGGACAACAGUUGGAAACGACUGCUAAUACCGCAUAAGCGCACAGUAUCGCAUGAUACAGUGUGAAAAAACUCCGGUGGCAUACGAUGGACCCGCGUCUGAUUAGCUAGUUGGUGAGGUAGCGGCCCACCAAGGCGACGAUCAGUAGCCGGCCUGAGAGGGUGAACGGCCACAUUGGGACUGAGACACGGCCCAAACUCCUACGGGAGGCAGCAGUGGGGAAUAUUGCACAAUGGGGGAAACCCUGAUGCAAGCGACGCCGCGUGAGUGAAGAAGUAUUUCGGUAUGUAAAGCUCUAUCAGCAGGGAAGAAAAUGACGGUACCUGACUAAGAAGCCCCGGCUAACUACGUGCCAGCAGCGGC
rnacentral:rRNA from 1 species